GUUUUGUUUGUUAGGCGACGCAGAGGCCGCAGUCAUUCUUUUUGAGUUUGGGUUUGUUAAACGGCUUCGGACCAAAGGGCUCUCGCCCCAGGCCCUCUGCCGUGAGUGUGCACGGUGGGUUUGUAAGGUUUGGACAGCGACGCCAGCCCGCUGCACGGCCUCUCGACCGGAGCAGGGCGGACGCGCCGCCAGAGAUACGUUAAUGAUCCUUCCGCAGGUUCACCUACGGAAA
rnacentral:misc_RNA from 1 species